GAUGAAUGCUGGCGGCGUGCCUAACACAUGCAAGUCGAGCGGCAGCGAGGGGUGCUUGCACCCUGUCGGCGAGCGGCGAACGGCUGAGUAACGCGUAGGAAUUUUCCCCAAAGUGAGGAAUAACUGCCCGAAAGGGUAGCUAAUGCCGCAUAUGGUCUUCGGAUUACAGGGUUUAUCCGCUUUGGGAGAAGCCUGCGUUGGAUUAGGUUGUUGGUAGGGUAAUGGCCUACCAAGCCGACGAACCAUAGCUGGCCUGAGAGGAUGAUCAGCCAGACUGGAAAUGAGACACGGUCCAGAAUCCUACGGAAGGCAGAAGUGAGGAAUCUUCCACACUGGGCGAAAGACUGAUGGAGCAACGCCGCGUGAAGGAUGAAGGCCUUAGGGUUGUAAACUUCUUUUAUGAGUGAAGAAUAUGACGGUAACAAACAAAUAAGCACCGGCUAACUACGG
rnacentral:rRNA from 1 species